UACGGAGGGUGCAAGCGUUAAUCGGAUUUACUGGGCGUAAAGCGCACGUAGGUGGUUUGUUAAGUCGGAUGUGAAAUCCCCGGGCUCAACCUGGGAGCGGCAUUCGAUACUGGCAAACUGGAGUACGAGAGAGGGGGGUGGAACUCCAGGUGUAGCGGUGAAAUGCGUAGAGAUGUGGAGGAACACCGAUGGCGAAGGCAGCCCCCUGGGCCAAUACUGACGCUCAUGCACGAAAGCGUGGG
rnacentral:rRNA from 1 species